UUCAGGGGAAAGUCGUCCUGGCAGUCCUGGGCCACCUGGCUCUCCUGGACCAAGAGGUCCCCCAGGCCAUCUGGGAGUUCCUGGACCACAAGGUCCUUCUGGGCAGCCUGGAUAUUGCGACCCCUCGUCAUGUUCUGCCUACGGUGUUGGAGUGUCCCAUCCGGAUCAGCCUGAGUUCACACCCGUCCAGGACGAGCAGGAAGCUAUGGAUCUGUGGGGCUCGAGCAUCUGAUGACCUCAGGACAUGUGAGGAGCAGUGGCAGCCCUCUUCUGGAGCUUUACUUACAAAAUGUUGUCACGUGGUCUGUAUGUUACUUUGCAGGGGGAGGCAGGGCCCAUGUCAUCAGCCGAUAUUUCCUCUAUGGUUAGCAUUAAUUAUUGUUUUUUUUAAAAAAAAACUCUAUUUUAAAUCAUCCCCUUUUGUGACACCGCUGAAAUCUUGUCCCUUUGCUGUUUGAAUUGCAUGCCAGAUACUUUGGUCUUCUUCUAAAGAAGAGUGCUGAGAGAGGAACUAAAAAGGUUACUUUGAACCCCAGAAUCUCUUCUCUGUUAGAUCAUUUCAGUUUAUAAAAUAAAUGAGAGGCGUGCUUACAUUGGAGGGAAUUGGGGCCCAGUAGCGGUGGAAAAGCGCGUUUGGAGAGUCAUGGAUUAUGUCACUUUCCCAUACCCAUGGCAAUGACCUUGCUGAUAAUUAAAAUACCACCAUUGCUGAGGAAACUACCUCUUUUUGUUUAAAUUGGUCUGUCCAGUUCUUAGAUCACUCAGUAACUGGGUUCACAGGAAUUCAGAAAUAAGAGCUAGAUUAUAGCCUUUCUGGAUUUGAUAACUAAAGAAAUAGAUUCUGCUUCCCAGUAGUUUUUGGCCCAUGUAAAAUAAUGACUUCCUACCAGCUCCAAUGCAAAAGAGACCCAUUUUUAAAUGAAUAUGUAAUUUGUCCAGCAGUGUGUUUCAGGGCCUGCCUCCCCUUGACUACAGGGAUUGCUUUGUAAAUGCAGAUGUGUUUUUGAAGACUUGUUUUUAUUCUUUUUUUUAUAAGCAAAUAAAAAAACUUAAAACAA